rnacentral:rRNA from 1 species
AUUGAACGCUGGCGGCAUGCUUUACACAUGCAAGUCGAACGGUAACAGGCCGCAAGGUGCUGACGAGUGGCGAACGGGUGAGUAAUGCAUCGGAACGUGCCCAGUCGUGGGGGAUAACGCAGCGAAAGCUGUGCUAAUACCGCAUACGAUCUAUGGAUGAAAGCGGGGGACCGUAAGGCCUCGCGCGAUUGGAGCGGCCGAUGUCAGAUUAGGUAGUUGGUGGGGUAAAGGCUCACCAAGCCGACGAUCUGUAGCUGGUCUGAGAGGACGACCAGCCACACUGGGACUGAGACACGGCCCAGACUCCUACGGGAGGCAGCAGUGGGGAAUUUUGGACAAUGGGCGCAAGCCUGAUCCAGCAAUGCCGCGUGCAGGAAGAAGGCCUUCGGGUUGUAAACUGCUUUUGUACGGAACGAAACGGACCGGGUUAAUACCCUGGGCUAAUGACGGUACCGUAAGAAUAAGCACCGGCUAACUACGUGCCAGCAGCCGCGGUAACAC